rnacentral:rRNA from 1 species
UACGUAGGGUGCGAGCGUUGUCCGGAAUUAUUGGGCGUAAAGAGCUUGUAGGCGGUUUGUCGCGUCUGCUGUGAAAAUCCGGGGCUCAACCCCGGACUUGCAGUGGGUACGGGCAGACUGGAGUGUGGUAGGGGAGACUGGAAUUCCUGGUGUAGCGGUGGAAUGCGCAGAUAUCAGGAGGAACACCGAUGGCGAAGGCAGGUCUCUGGGCCACUACUGACGCUGAGACGCGAAAGCGUGGGGAGCGAACAGG